rnacentral:rRNA from 1 species
UACGUAGGGUGCAAGCGUUGUCCGGAAUUAUUGGGCGUAAAGAGCUUGUAGGCGGUUUGUCGCGUCUGCUGUGAAAUUUCGGGGCUCAACCCCGAACUUGCAGUGGGUACGGGCAGACUAGAGUGUGGUAGGGGAGACUGGAAUUCCUGGUGUAGCGGUGAAAUGCGCAGACAUCAGGAGGAACACCGAUGGCGAAGGCAGGUCUCUGGGCCAUAACUGACGCUGAGAAGCGAAAGCAUGGGGAGCGAACAGG